GUUUGGAGGAAGAAAUCACCACUAAACUGUGUGCUCUGUAUUAAUACAAGGUGUUAAGCUUGCAGGAGAUGAGCAGUCUCCAAGAUACCAUGAGCAUGCUCUGUUAGACUUCAUCUCAGUAUCGAUUCUGCAUCAGUGUCAAAAUACUGAUGAGCAAACAUAUGCACUGUUUCCAUAUUGUGUCUCUCCAGGUUGUGUGCAAUGUCCUGUUUCGGGAUCCUGUCUAAUCCUGAUCAUUUCAGCAGCCACAGUGCUGGCACAAGUGAUGAAGUAAGGGGAGUAUUCGAAGCAAAGCACCUAAGCCUAAUUUACGGAUGAAAUCUUCUUACGGCAUUGAGCUGUGGCUGAUAGAAACAGGUGUGGAGCUCUAUUUGCUGAUGUUUAACCUGCUGGAGGCUUCCCCCUUCACCUGUGCUCAGUGUGCCAGCUCCAUGCCAAUGGGACCUUUAGCACUUGUGGAAGGGUGGCUUUCAAGGUCUUGA
rnacentral:lncRNA from 14 species